GAUGAACGCUGGCGGCGUGCCUAAUACAUGCAAGUCGAGCGAACAGACGAGGAGCUUGCUCCUACGCCGUUAGCGGCGGACGGGUGAGCAACACGUAGGUAACCUAUAUAUCAGACUGGGUUAACUUCGGGCAACCGGAGCUAUUACCGGCUAAUAUUUCGAACCGCAUGGUUCGAUAGUGAAAGAUGGCUUUGCUAUCACUUAUAGAUGGACCUGCGCCGUCUUAGCUAGUUGGUGAGGUAACGGCUUACCAAGGCAACGAUACGUAGCCCACCUGAGAGGGUGAUCGGCCACACGGGAAAUGAGACACAGUCCAGACUCCUGCGGGAGGCAGCAGUAGAAAAUCUUCCGCAAUGGGCGAAAGCCUAACGGAGGAACACCGCGUGAGUGAUGAAGGUCUUAGGAUGGGAGAACUCUGUAGUUAGGGAAGAACUAAAGUGUAAGUAACGGUGCAGGUCUUGACGGUACCUGGAGAGGAAGCCACGGCUAACUUCGUG
rnacentral:rRNA from 1 species